GAUGAACGCUGGCGGCGUGCCUAAUACAUGCAAGUCGAGCGAACGGACGAGAAGCUUGCUUCUCUGAUGUUAGCGGCGGACGGGUGAGUAACACGUGGAUAACCUACCUAUAAGACUGGGAUAACUUCGGGAAACCGGAGCUAAUACCGGAUAAUCUUUUGAACCGCAUGGUUCAAAAGUGAAAGACGGUCUUGCUGUCACUUAUAGAUGGAUCCGCGCUGCAUUAGCUAGUUGGUAAGGUAACGGCUUACCAAGGCAACGAUGCAUAGCCGACCUGAGAGGGGGAUCGGCCACACUGGAACUGAGACAUGGUCCAGACUCCUACGGGAGGCAGCAGUAGGGAAUCUGCCGCAAUGGGCGAAAGCCUGACGGAGCAACGGCGCGUGAGUGAUGAAGGUCUUCGGAUCGUAAAACUCUGUUAUUAGGGAAGAACAUAUGUGUAAGUAACUGUGCACAUCUUGACGGUACCUAAUCAGAAAGCCACGGCUAACUACGUG
rnacentral:rRNA from 1 species